GAAGGCAAGGGGUCGAGUGGGGCCUGACAGGAAGGCUGGCCGGCCGGUGUGGCAUGUGGGGCCUUGCCCAGCACAAACGUGCCUUCCUAGGCCCGGAGCCCCAGACGCAGAGCCUGAGAGAGGGUGCGAGCAGUUUGCUUGGAGGUGAUCUCGAGAAGUGGGUCAUGGCGGCAGGGGGGAGCGGAAAGUGGUAGAAGGUGUGUUAUCAGCUGGCGGCAACGGGGCUCCUUCCCCGUGAGGCCCCCUGGGAGACAACAUAGAAGGAGCCUUAGGGUGUUCCUGCCUGGGGACGAGGAAGCUGGGUGUCCCCAACUCCCCUGUGACACUGGCCCUCAGCUGGGCCACUCCUAGGGCCCAGAUCUCCCCACGGGGAGGCACAGGUGCUGGCAGGAGGGUGCCAUGGGCCUGGCCGGGAGCGGUGAGCGCCGGGACGCCAACAACGGGCACCAAUAGCAUCCGAGGCAAGGAGGGAGCACGGAGGCCAUCCCGCAUGCACCUGUUCACCGAGCAUCCCAGUGUGCCCAUCUCAUCAGGGAGACGGAGGAUGAGAAGAGCACGCGGAGAGAUGGUCAGCAGCGCGGGAUUCGUGCCAGGAAGGGAUGGAGGACGGAUAAACAACAUGUGGCGUAUCCACACGACGGGGUUUGAUGCAGCCAUAAAGAGCAAUCGAGCACUGAGUGUUGAAAAUAGUGAGACUGAGCGCAAGACGCCAGAUGCAAAAGGCCACAUAGCGUGUGAUUCCGUUCCCGUGAGGUGUCCCAGGCAGGCAAAUCCGCAGAGACAGGAAGCAGGAUGACGUCUCUGUUUCCUGAUCCAACUCUGAGAGAGAGACGGAGAGGGCAAGGAGGCAGGAGGGGGAUGCUGCAGGGAAACCUAUGGACUCAAAUAGAAAAAAGCAGCAUAUCAACCAAUGGACCCUGUUUGGAUCCUGAUUCACACCCAGAGAAUUGUAAAA
rnacentral:lncRNA from 1 species